rnacentral:rRNA from 1 species
AGAGUUUGAUCCUGGCUCAGAACGAACGUUGGCGGCGUGGAUGAGGCAUGCAAGUCGCGCGCGAAAGUUCCCUUCGGGGGACGAGUAAAGCGGCGGACGGGUGAGUAACACGUAAUCAAGCUACCCCCCAAAUCAGGAUAACCGCGGGAAACUGCGGCUAAUACUGGAUGGUCUUGGCUGGACGCAUGUCCGGCCAAGUAAAGGAAGGGAUCCUACGGGACCUUGCGUUGGGGGAGGCGAUUGCGGCCUAUCAGCUUGUUGGUGAGGUAACGGCCCACCAAGGCAUCGACGGGUAGCAGGCCUGAGAGGGUGGUCUGUCACACUGGGACUGAGACACUGCCCAGACUCCUACGGGAGGCUGCAGUCGAGAAUCUUCCGCAAUGGGCGAAAGCCUGACGGAGCGACGCCGCGUGGAGGACGAAGGCCCUUGGGUUGUAAACUCCUGUCACGAGUUAUGAAGGUGUAGUAGGUAAUAUCUGCUAUAUUGACGUAUGCUCGAAAGGAAGCACCGGCUAACUCUGUGCCAGCAGCCGCGGUAAUACAGAGGGUGCAAACGUUGUUCGGAAUCACUGGGCAUAAAGCGCACGUAGGCGGCCUUGUAAGUGUGGAGUGAAAUCCCACGGCUCAACCGUGGAACUGCUUCGCAUACUGCAAGUGCUAGAGGACGGUAGGGGAGAGCGGAACUCUUGGUGGAGCGGUGAAAUGCGUAGAUAUCAAGAGGAACACCAGUGGCGAAGGCGGCUCUCUGGUCCGUUUCUGACGCUGAGGUGCGAAAGCCAGGGUAGCGAACGGGAUUAGAUACCCCGGUAGUCCUGGCCGUAAACGAUGGGUACUAGCUAGAGGGUCUAUCCUGUAGAUUCUCUGGCGAAGCAAAUGUGAUAAGUACCCCGCCUGGGGAGUAUGGUCGCAAGGCUAAAACUCAAAGAAAUUGACGGGGGCUCACACAAGCGGUGGAGGAUGUGGCUUAAUUCGAGGCUACGCGAAGAACCUUAUCCUGGAUUUGACAUGCACGGAUAGGCUACCUGAAAGGGAUAGUCUUGCCUUCGGGUGAAACGUGCACAGGUGCUGCAUGGCUGUCGUCAGCUCGUGUCGUGAGAUGUCGGGUUAAGUCCCUUAACGAGCGAAACCCUUGUCACUAGUUGCCAGCGCGUUAUGGCGGGGACUCUAGUGAGACUGCCGGUGUUAAACCGGAGGAAGGUGGGGAUGACGUCAAGUCCUCAUGGCCUUUAUGUCCAGGGCUGCACACGUCCUACAAUGGCACGCACAAAGGGAAGCAAACUCGCGAGAGUAAGCAAAUCCCUGAAAUCGUGCCUCAGUUCGGAUUGCAGGCUGCAACUCGCCUGCAUGAAGUCGGAAUCGCUAGUAAUCGUAGGUCAGCAUACUACGGUGAAUGUGUUCCUGAGCCUUGUACACACCGCCCGUCAAGCCACGAAAGUGGGGGGUCGGCGAAGUCGCUGAGCUAACCAGCAAUGGAGGCAAGCGCCGAACCGAAACUCCGCGAUUGGGACUAAGUCGUAACAAGGUAACC